AUUGAACGCUGGCGGCAUGCCUUACACAUGCAAGUCGAACGGUAACAGGUCUUCGGAUGCUGACGAGUGGCGAACGGGUGAGUAAUACAUCGGAACGUGCCCGAGAGUGGGGGAUAACGAGGCGAAAGCUUUGCUAAUACCGCAUACGAUCUCAGGAUGAAAGCAGGGGACCGCAAGGCCUUGCGCUCACGGAGCGGCCGAUGGCAGAGUUAGGUAGUUGGUGGGAUAAAAGCUUACCAAGCCGACGAUCUGUAGCUGGCCUGAGAGGACGACCAGCCACACUGGGACGGGGACACGGCCCAGAGUCCUACGGGGGGCAGCAGUGGGGAAUUUUGGACAAUGGGCGCAAGCCUGAUCCAGCCAUGCCGCGUGCAGGAUGAAGGCCUUCGGGUUGUAAACUGCUUUUGUACGGAACGAAAAGACUCCUUCUAAUAAAGGGGGUCCAUGACGGUACCGUAAGAAUAAGCACCGGCUAACUACGUGCCAGCCGCCGCCGUAAUAC
rnacentral:rRNA from 1 species